AAAAUCCUAGCUUAAUUAAAGCAUCUGAGUUGCAUUCAGAAGAUGCAGGAUAACGCCCUGCGGAUUUUA
rnacentral:tRNA from 3 species